rnacentral:rRNA from 1 species
GAAGGGUGCAAGCGUUACUCGGAAUUACUGGGCGUAAAGCGUGCGUAGGUGGUUCGUUAAGUCUGAUGUGAAAGCCCUGGGCUCAACCUGGGAAUGGCACUGGAUACUGGCGGGCUGGAGUGCGGUAGAGGAUGGCGGAAUUCCCGGUGUAGCAGUGAAAUGCGUAGAGAUCGGGAGGAACAUCCGAGGCGAAGGCGGCCAUCUGGACCAGCACUGACACUGAGGCACGAAGGCGUGGGGAGCAAACAGGAUUAGAUACCCUGGUAGUCCACGCCCUAAACGAUGCGAACUGGAUGUUGGGAGCAACUAGGCUCUCAGUAUCGAAGCUAACGCGUUAAGUUCGCCGCCUGGGGAGUACGGUCGCAAGACUG